rnacentral:rRNA from 1 species
AUGGAUAACUGUGUUGAUUUCUUCAUGACUUCACUGCAAGGAAGUUCUGGUACAUUCUGGUUUUAUUUAAUGUAUGCAUUCUGCCUUUUUUUGGAAAAGAUAUCUCCAACAAGACAACAUAGUUCUGAAACUGAGUACUCCUAUAAGUUUGCCGGCCGCAAUUCCUUUGUCAAGCUUACUCAGUCAAGGCUACUCCCAACAUUGUUCGGUCAACCGAGCCUGAGUCUGACGACAAAUUUGAAGGCCAGCCCUACCCUGCCGAAUUCCAAGAAGAUGCAAGACGCAAAAAGGGCAGGUAGCUGUAGCCUGUAG